rnacentral:tRNA from 1 species
GCCGGAGUGGCGGAAUGGCAGACGCAGCGGAUUCAAAAUCCGCCGACCUUACGGUCGUGUGGGUUCGACUCCCUCCUCCGGCA